rnacentral:tRNA from 2 species
GGCCCCGUGGUGUAGCGGUUAACAUGCCACCCUGUCACGGUGGAGAUCGUGGGUUCGAAUCCCAUCGGGGUCGCCA